rnacentral:rRNA from 1 species
AGAGUUUGAUCCUGGCUCAGGACGAACGCUGGCGGCGUGCUUAACACAUGCAAGUCAAGGGGGCCCAGCAAUGGGCAACCGGCGAACGGGUGCGUAACACGUGAGCAACCUACCGAACUGUGGGGGAUAGCCGGCCUAACGGCCGAGUAAUACCGCAUACGCUUUCAGUGAGGCAUUUCAUUGAAAGGAAACCUACGGGACAGAUCGAGGGGCUCGCGGCCUAUCAGCUAGUUGGCGAGGUAACGGCUCACCAAGGCGACGACGGGUAGCUGGUCUGAGAGGAUGGCCAGCCACAUUGGGACUGAGAUACGGCCCAGACUCCUACGGGAGGCAGCAGUGGGGAAUCUUGCGCAAUGGCCUAACGGCUGACGCAGCGACGCCGCGUGUGGGAUGAAGCUCUUCGGAGUGUAAACCACUGUUGCCCGGGACGAAUAGCUCGAUUAAUCGAGCCUGACGGUACCGGGUGAGGAAGCACCGGCUAACUCCGUGCCAGCAGCCGCGGUAAUUC